GUGCCAGCCGCCGCGGUAAUACGAAGGGUGCAAGCGUUACUCGGAAUUACUGGGCGUAAAGCGUGCGUAGGUGGUCGUUUAAGUCCGUUGUGAAAGCCCUGGGCUCAACCUGGGAACUGCAGUGGAUACUGGGCGACUAGAGUGUGGUAGAGGGUAGCGGAAUUCCUGGUGUAGCAGUGAAAUGCGUAGAGAUCAGGAGGAACAUCCAUGGCGAAGGCAGCUACCUGGACCAACACUGACACUGAGGCACGAAAGCGUGGGGAGCAAACAGGAUUAGAUACCCUGGUAGUCCACGCCCUAAACGAUGCGAACUGGAUGUUGGGUGCAAUUUGGCACGCAGUAUCGAAGCUAACGCGUUAAGUUCGCCGCCUGGGGAGUACGGUCGCAAGACUGAAACUCAAAGGAAUUGACGGGGGCCCGCACAAGCGGUGGAGUAUGUGGUUUGAUUCGAUGCAACGCGAAGAACCUUACCUGGCCUUGACAUGUCGAGAACUUUCCAGA
rnacentral:rRNA from 1 species